AUUGAACGCUGGCGGCAUGCCUUACACAUGCAAGUCGAACGGCAGCACGGGAGCAAUCCUGGUGGCGAGUGGCGAACGGGUGAGUAAUAUAUCGGAACGUGCCCAGUCGUGGGGGAUAACGCAGCGAAAGCUGUGCUAAUACCGCAUACGAUCUAAGGAUGAAAGCGGGGGAUCGCAAGACCUCGCGCGAUUGGAGCGGCCGAUAUCAGAUUAGCUAGUUGGUGGGGUAAAGGCCCACCAAGGCGACGAUCUGUAGCUGGUCUGAGAGGACGACCAGCCACACUGGGACUGAGACACGGCCCAGACUCCUACGGGGGGCAGCAGUGGGGAAUUUUGGACAAUGGGCGCAAGCCUGAUCCAGCAAUGCCGCGUGCAGGAAGAAGGCCUUCGGGUUGUAAACUGCUUUUGUACGGAACGAUAAGGUCUGGGUUAAUACCCUGGGCACAUGACGGUACCGUAAGAAUAAGCACCGGCUAACUACGUGCCAGCCGCCGCCGUAA
rnacentral:rRNA from 1 species